rnacentral:rRNA from 1 species
UACGAAGGGGGCGAGCGUUGUUCGGAUUUACUGGGCGUAAAGGGCGCGUAGGCGGCGGACCAAGUCGAGUGUGAAAGCCCCGGGCUCAACCUGGGAGGUGCGCUCGAGACUGGUCUGCUUGAGUUCGGGAGAGGAGCGUGGAAUUCCCAGUGUAGAGGUGAAAUUCGUAGAUAUUGGGAAGAACACCGGUGGCGAAGGCGGCGCUCUGGACCGAGACUGACGCUGAGGCGCGAAAGCGUGGGGAGCAAACAGA